AUGAGCAGUCACUCAACACAGCACAUUAUCUCUUACCUACAUUUCUUUCACCUUCCUCGACAGAUUUCCAUGGAGAGACGACCGACUCUGUAUGUUCUGAACCUGAUCCUGCCCACGUGCGCCCUGUACCUGCUCGAUAUGGCUGUGCUGUUUGGACCCAGCUCCCUCGAGGAGAAAAUCAGCUUCCAGAUUUCUAUCAUCCUGGGCAGCUCCAUGUUGGCCGUGAUUCUCAACAACAUGCUUCCUACUUCCUCCAAUGAACCACCCAUAAUAGUGAUAUUCUUCUUAGGCACCUUCCUGUUAAUGAUCAUGGCUGUGUUAGACACCUUCUUCCUGCUGCACCAGCAGCACAAAUCCCUACGCUUAGACAAGGCUCUCAGAAGCAUCCAGCAAGGCGUGCACACCAAGCUGGCAACGACAGAGGCCAACAACCAGGCCACGAAGCACCUCGCCAAGAAGAGCCAGGAAAAAGGGCAGCAAGCCAAGCCCCACUGGAAACCACAGGAGCAGGACCCCGUUCUGCCAGUCCUGGAGAAGGUGCUUCUCUACAGUCACUUAUUCUUGUCGCUCUUUUUUUUUGCUGUUAUUUCUAUAAAAUGGAGCAGCUAGGGGCCAGCUCUGUGUUACGCUCAUUCAGUCGUUCUCAAUUUUAUUGUUUCUAAUCCCUCCACUGUCUUGUUUUUUUUUUUUUUUUCCUGCUUGAUUCAUAGAACUGCAAUGUUUCAGUUGCCUAAAUUUAAAAAAAAAAAAAAAACAAUCCAGGGCAUAAGACAGGCAUGGUUCCUGCUGUGUACUCUAGUUCAGUAAAACUACACACGUUCUUGCAGUGCUCUGUGGGCUAGCGAAGUACCUGUACAAAACACUAGUGGAAUCAGGGGACAGAACCUUCCUUCCAUCAGACAGUAAUUCUUACAACCACACGCCCCUUAUGAUAGGAAAAGGGAAUUAAUGUCCUUUUUUGUCAUGGAGAUGUUUCCGUUCUGAGGAAAGGUGGUUAAGAGUUCCACCUUAGGGUAAUUAAAUAAAUCAAUGCAAGUACAAAGCCUCUGUUGUAUU
rnacentral:lncRNA from 1 species